CAGUGGUACAGUGCGGCAAUUACACAGGAAUUUCUGGGUGGUUGUAGUUUAAAUAAAACAAUUUCAUAGACUAAACUCAAACUUACAAACAUGCAGCUGCUUGUGAGGGAGGAGAAAGGCUAAGAAAUGCUGGAGUCAGUAACUGAGGCAGGCAGGUGACUGAGAAGGCCUUGAAGUCUACUAUGUAGGCUGUUCACAACAAGAGCCAGGCUUCUCUGUGUGCCUUAUGUGGAACUGAACCUGGGAUAUCAAGACCCAGUUAUGGGAAAUGAGGGUGCUUGUGGUUCAUGUGGAGGGUUUGACAGGGGCUCUGCCUUCAACAGGUGUGCGACAGACAGGGAACUCUUCUGUCAGCUUCAAGAUGCAGGGAUGGAUAAAGCAUAGCCGUAUGAUUUCAGCAUACUAUGCUGUUGGUAAAAGGCAAUGGACCUCCUUCAGGAAAGAAAGUGGCAAUUUGAUUCAAACUUCAUGUUGGACACAGCUGAGGUGGGGCCUUCUCUCCCCAAGUGUGUAGUGUAUGUGGGAUUUUACAAUAAUUAAUAGCUCUGCAUGAAUCUCAAGCUUCUGUGCUAAUUGGCAUAUAACCUGGGUGCUCCUAUUUGAGUUGUGCUUAACUUGUGUCAAGUUAAUCAUUCACAACAUUUCUAUGCCGUUCCAUAAAAUAAAGUUAUCUGAGCUGCUUACGAGAAGCUAAGGUACUUUCACGCAAAAAGAAACAGCUCCUUCCUAACCUCGGUCUGUCCCAAAGCCAUAACUUCUGUUUAAAAUAGUUCAAUGGGAUUUACUUUCAGGUAAGUGAAUAUAUGAUUGACACUUGACCUGGGAGUGGGUUCCACUGAACUCGGAGAAGGCCUGUACUGUCAAUCUAAUGCUUAAAUGGGCAAAAAAUAUCUAUGCACUUGUAGCAAUUUUAGUACUUGCCUGAUCUAGAGCAUUCUUGUUUAUACUAGUCUAUAUUUUUUUUUUUAAAAAAAACCUGAAUAGAUGAAGUAUAUUGCACAUUUUUGAGUUAGCAAAAACAAGUACUGGUAAAUGCAUUCAAUUCUAACUCUAUGCAGGGGCUUGCCUUGAGAGUAAUUCAGAAAAGGGGGUUGCCAUGGUGCGGCCCACGAACUCAGUGGCAUCCCUGUGGCCUUUCCCUGACAUCCAUGAAGCCUCUGAGCCCCCCUCCUCACUAUUUCCUUUGUCAUGAGGUGGUAAUAGCUAUUACGGGUACCUUUUUCUCCCUUGAAAAGUACCGUGUUUUCUUGAGUCUAAUGUGCCAUCGAAUCCAAUGUGCACCUCAAUUUUCAGAACCUUGAAACCAAAGAAAGUAUUUGCCGGCGAAUGUAAAUGUGCCAUCGAAUCUGAUGCACACCUUAAUUUUCGCAGCGUAAUUUGGCCAAAGAAGGUGAGCAUUAGAUUUGAGUAAAGACAGUACAUGAAUACGGAUUUUUGUAUUUCACCAGCAGAAAUAAACACCUGACUACACCAUUUAAUCUUCAAAACGGUUGCACACAGGACAUAUUAGGAGCAGGCCUGCCUUAGGUGCCAUUUUCAGUUGUGAUUAGAGAACCAGAG
rnacentral:lncRNA from 1 species